GAUGAACGCUGGCGGCGUGCCUAAUACAUGCAAGUCGAGCGAAUGGAUUAAGAGCUUGCUCUUAUGAAGUUAGCGGCGGACGGGUGAGUAACACGUGGGUAACCUGCCCAUAAGACUGGGAUAACUCCGGGAAACCGGGGCUAAUACCGGAUAACAUUUUGAACCGCAUGGUUCGAAAUUGAAAGGCGGCUUCGGCUGGCACUUAUGGAUGGACCCGGGUCGCAUUAGCUAGUUGGUUAGGUAACGGCUCACCAAGGCAACGAUGCGUAGCCGACCUGAGAGGGUGAUCGGCCACACUGGGACUGAGACACGGCCCAGACUCCUACGGGAGGCAGCAGUAGGGAAUCUUCCGCAAUGGACGAAAGUCUGACGGAGCAACGCCGCGUGAGUGAUGAAGGCUUUCGGGUCGUAAAGCUCUGUUGUUAGGGAAGAACAAGUGCUAGUUGAAUAAGCUGGCACCUUGACGGUACCUAACCAGAAAGCCACGGCUAACUACGUGCCAGCCGCCGCCGUAA
rnacentral:rRNA from 1 species